rnacentral:rRNA from 1 species
GACGAACCGUGCGAACGUUGUUCGGAAUCACUGGGCUUAAAGGGCGCGUAGGCGGCCACAAAAGUCAGGGGUGAAAUCUUUCGGCUCAACCGGAAAAGUGCCUCUGAUACUGUGUGGCUCGAGGGAGGUAGGGGCGGACGGAACUUCCGGUGGAGCGGUGAAAUGCGUUGAUAUCGGAAGGAACGCCGGUGGCGAAAGCGGUCCGCUGGCCCUCUUCUGACGCUGAGGCGCGAAAGCUAGGGGAGCAAACGGG